AGUAAUAUAACCUGGAUGUUGGUGGCAGAAAGAACUGUUUCAUUUAUUUUUUACUUUAAUUUAAUUUACAGAUUUAAAAUGUCAGCUCAUGUUUUAGUUUCUAGACCGAAGUUUCUAGACCAAUCUUCCUGUGAAAAAAACAAAUCAGCCAGUGUUGCCAGAUCAGAGGUUUUCCCUCCAGAUCUAGAGGUUUCACGUUUCUGCUCAGGGCCAUCUGGAGGUGGCGGAUGUGCUGUGACCAGUGGUGUAGUGGUGUACGCAGGAAUUAGAUCUUAUUUGAAUCAUUCAAGAACUUCUGAAAAGGACUUUAGAUCAAUCCAUCAACCAAAUAAGGUUCUGGAGCAGAUAGGAGCUCAGGAGAAGAAAAUAGCUGCUCUCUACCAGGCUAUAAGGGAUAAAGACGCCCCAUGAAGGCUGGUGGGUGAAGUUUGUGAGAUCACAGAGACCAUUGAAUCUCUCUAGCAAGCAUGAGGAAGCCAAGCAGUCUCUUGAGAAAGAUGGGGGACACCCGCAUGAUGCUGGAGAAGGAAAUCGCCAAAAAAGCACACACCAAUCCUGACUGUGAGAAAUGCAGGAGCCAUCGUACAUGCUACCCAACCCUCAUCUGACUGGCUGGAUAUUACUACUGAAAUAAACAGUGUGAAUGACAGAACAAAACAAAAAGUUUUUUUCAUUUCACACCAGUAAUUGCUGAUGAAGGAUGUUUGAAUAUACUUGGUAGCAUUCUAGAAGCUUAUAACUACAAGCCCUCUAUUACCUUCUUUAAAGAAAAUGUAGUGGAAUUAAUAA